GCUUUCGUGGUGUAGUGGUCAGCACGUUCGACGCAUAAUCAAGCGGUCCGUGGUUCGAUUCCCGCUGAUAGCG
rnacentral:tRNA from 1 species